ACUAGCAGUAAGAGUUUGAUCAUGGCUCAGAACGAACGCUGGCGGCAUGCCUAACACAUGCAAGUCGAACGAGACCUUCGGGUCUAGUGGCGCACGGGUGCGUAACGCUGGGAAUCUGCCCUUGGGUUCGGGAUAACAGUUGGAAACGACUGCUAAUACCGGAUGAUGACUUCGGUCCAAAGAUUUAUCGCCCAGGGAUGAGCCCGCGUAGGAUUAGCUUGUUGGUGAGGUAAAGGCUCACCAAGGCGACGAUCCUUAGCUGGUCUGAGAGGAUGAUCAGCCACACUGGGACUGAGACACGGCCCAGACUCCUACGGGAGGCAGCAGUGGGGAAUUUUGGACAAUGGGGGCAACCCUGAUCCAGCCAUUCCGCGUGAGUGAAGAAGGCCUUCGGGUUGUAAAGCUCUUUUGUCCGGAACGAAACGGUGGACGUGAAUAUCGUCCAUUACUGACGGUACCGGAAGAAUAAGCACCGGCUAACUACGUGCCAGCCGCCGCGGUAAUAC
rnacentral:rRNA from 1 species